UGUGUUGGGUGAGCAGCAUUGCCAAAGAUGGUCUAGGUCGCGGCCUCACUUUGCAUCGCACACGACCACACUCGCUACUUAAACAGCUACGCAGUCCACAACACCAGUGGCCGGCAGCCUCCAACACCACCCUUGGAGUGUAGCACGUCGCUCGCGUAGGGAAAAGGAAGCACCUCCCACAUCCGACGAGUGACGUGUCUCAUCUCCUCAUCUUGUCCAGGUUUGAUCCAUGGAGUCCCCGCAAAAGAAGGCUCCUGCAUCCAUGGACGGCAGCAAGGCGCCUCAUCUGCUGCCGGUGACCCUGUCCCUGGCGCCUCCUCGGCAGCGGUGAGGAGUAGGACUGAGAAGCAGGGGUACGUAGGCAGCGUCGCUAGUACGUAUUUGUGUAAUGUGUUACGUACCCUGAAUUGUGCCCGUCUUUGAUGCAGUAGUAUUCCACCUUUCCUUUGUAGUAUGAUCAGACAUCAUUUAUAUGCUUAUUUAUCCAGCUUCAAUAUAAUUGAUGUUGGUGA